GCAUAACGCGAAGAACCUUACCCAGGUUUGACAUGCUUUCGACCGGCGUUGAAAGACGCCUUUCCUUCGGGACGGAAGCACAGAUGCUGCAUGGCUGUCGUCAGCUCGUGCCGUGAGGUGUUCGGUUAAGUCCGGCAACGAGCGCAACCCGUACUGCCAGUUACCAUCAAGUAAUGUUGGGGACUCUGGCGGGACUGCCCGUGUCAAGCGGGAGGAAGGCGCGGAUGACGUCAAGUCCGUAUGGCUCUUACACCUGGGGCCGCAAACGUGCUACAAUGGCGGGUACAAUGGGCUGCUGCAUCGCGAGAUGUGGCGAACCUCCAAAACCCGCCCCAGUUCGGAUUGCAGCCUGCAACUCGGCUGCAUGAAGUCGGAAUCGCUAGUAAUGGCGUGUCAGCAACAACGCCGUGAAUACGUUCCCGGGUCUUGUACACACCG
rnacentral:rRNA from 1 species